rnacentral:rRNA from 1 species
GAUGAACGCUAGCGGCAGGCCUAAUACAUGCAAGUCGAACGGGAUUGAGGAGCUUGCUCCUCAUGAGAGUGGCGCACGGGUGCGUAACACGUAUGUAGCCUACCUUAAUCAGGGGGAUAGCCUCUCGAAAGAGAGAUUAACACCGCAUAAAAUCACACUAUGGCAUCAUAGAAUGAUCAAAUAUUUAUAGGAUUAAGAUGGGCAUGCGGAACAUUAGCUAGUUGGUAAGGUAACGCCUUACCAAGCCUACGAUGUUUAGGGGACCUGAGGGGAUGGCCCCCCACCUUGGUACUGAGAACCGGACCAGCCUCCUACGGGAGGCAGCAGUAAGUAAUAUUGGUAAAUGGACGGAAGUCUGAACCAGCCAUGCCGCGUGCAGGAAAACGGCCCUACGGGUUGUAAACUGCUUUUGUACCGGAAUAAACCUCUUUACGUGUAAGGAGCUGAAUGUACGGUAAGAAUAAGGAUCGGCUAACUCCGUGCCAGCCGCCGCAGUAA